rnacentral:rRNA from 1 species
UGUCUAAGUAUAAGCAACUAUACGGUGAACCUGCGGAAGGAUCAUUAAAUCAGUUAUCGUUUAUUUGAUAGUACCUUACUACAUGGAUAACCGUGGUAAUUCUAGAGCUAAUACAUGCUAAAAACCUCGACUUCGGAAGGGGUGUAUUUAUUAGAUAAAAAACCAAUGCCCUUCGGGGCUCCUUGGUGAAUCAUAAUAACUUAACGAAUCGCAUGGCCUUGCGCCGGCGAUGGUUCAUUCAAAUUUCUGCCCUAUCAACUUUCGAUGGUAGGAUAGUGGCCUACCAUGGUAUCAACGGGUAACGGGGAAUUAGGGUUCGACUCCGGAGAGGGAGCCUGAGAAACGGCUACCACAUCCAAGGAAGGCAGCAGGCGCGCAAAUUACCCAAUCC